rnacentral:rRNA from 1 species
AUUGAACGCUGGCGGCAUGCUUUACACAUGCAAGUCGAACGGUAACAGGCCUUCGGGUGCUGACGAGUGGCGAACGGGUGAGUAAUGCAUCGGAACGUGCCCAGAGGUGGGGGAUAACGCAGCGAAAGCUGCGCUAAUACCGCAUGUGAUCUGAGGAUGAAAGCGGGGGACCAAGCAGCAAUGUUUGGCCUCGCGCCUCUGGAGCGGCCGAUGUCAGAUUAGGUAGUUGGUGGGGUAAAGGCCUACCAAGCCGACGAUCUGUAGCUGGUCUGAGAGGACGACCAGCCACACUGGGACUGAGACACGGCCCAGACUCCUACGGGAGGCAGCAGUGGGGAAUUUUGGACAAUGGGCGCAAGCCUGAUCCAGCAAUGCCGCGUGCGGGAAGAAGGCCUUCGGGUUGUAAACCGCUUUUGUACGGAACGAAAAGGCUCUGGCUAAUACCUGGGGCUGAUGACGGUACCGUAAGAAUAAGCACCGGCUAACUACGUG